rnacentral:rRNA from 1 species
GAUUAACGCUAGCGGCAGGCAUAAUACAUGCAAGUUGAACGGGAUAAGUUGUAGCAAUACGGCUUUGAGAGUAGCGCACGGGUGCGUAACACGUAUGCAACCUGCCCUUUACUGGGGAAUAGCCUCUCGAAAGAGAGAUUAAUACCCCAUAAUAUAUUUUGUAGGCAUCUAUAGAAUAUUAAAGCUACGGCGGUAAAGGAUGGGCAUGCGGCUGAUUAGGUAGUUGGUGAGGUAAUGGCUCACCAAGCCAACGAUCAGUAGGGGGUCUGAGAGGAUGUCCCCCCACACUGGUACUGAGACACGGACCAGACUCCUACGGGAGGCAGCAGUAGGGAAUAUUGGACAAUGGGGGCAACCCUGAUCCAGCCAUGCCGCGUGCAGGAAGAAGGCCCUAUGGGUCGUAAACUGCUUUUGUACGGGAAGAAACCUCACUACGUGUAGUGAGUUGACGGUACCGUGAGAAUAAGGAUCGGCUAACUUCGUG